GAUGAACGCUGGCGGCGUGCCUAAUACAUGCAAGUCGAGCGAACGGACGAGAAGCUUGCUUCUCUGAUGUUAGCGGCGGACGGGUGAGUAACACGUGGAUAACCUACCUAUAAGACUGGGAUAACUUCGGGAAACCGUAGCUAAUACCGGAUAAUAUUUUGAACCGCAUGGUUCAAAAGUGAAAGACGGUCUUGCUGUCACUUAUAGAUGGAUCCGCGCUGCAUUAGCUAGUUGGUAAGGUAACGGCUUACCAAGGCAACGAUGCAUAGCCGACCUGAGAGGGUGAUCGGCCACACUGGAACUGAGACACGGUCCAGACUCCUACGGGAGGCAGCAGUAGGGAAUCUUCCGCAAUGGGCGAAAGCCUGACGGAGCAACGCCGCGUGAGUGAUGAAGGUCUUCGGAUCGUAAAACUCUGUUAUUAGGGAAGAACAUGUGUGUAAGUAACUGUGCACAUCUUGACGGUACCUAAUCAGAAAGCCGCGGCUAACUACGUG
rnacentral:rRNA from 1 species